rnacentral:rRNA from 1 species
AAAGAAACCAACAGGGAUUGCCUCAGUAACGGCGAGUGAAGCGGCAAGAGCUCAAAUUUGAAAGCUGGCCCCCUCGGGGCCCGCGUUGUAAUUUGCAGAGGAUGCUUCGGGUGCAGCCCCCGUCUAAGUGCCCUGGAACGGGCCGUCAUAGAGGGUGAGAAUCCCGUCUGGGACGGGGUGUCUGCGUCCGUGUGAAGCUCCUUCGACGAGUCGAGUUGUUUGGGAAUGCAGCUCUAAAUGGGUGGUAAAUUUCAUCUAAAGCUAAAUACUGGCCGGAGACCGAUAGCGCACAAGUAGAGUGAUCGAAAGAUGAAAAGCACUUUGAAAAGAGAGUUAAACAGCACGUGAAAUUGUUGAAAGGGAAGCGUUUGCGACCAGACUCGCCCGCGGGGUUCAGCCGGCACUCGUGCCGGUGUACUUCCCCGUGGGCGGGCCAGCGUCGGUUUGGGCGGCCGGUCAAAGGCCCUCGGAAUGUAUCACCUCUCGGGGUGUCUUAUAGCCGAGGGUGCAAUGCGGCCUGCCCGGACCGAGGAACGCGCUUCGGCUCGGACGCUGGCGUAAUGGUCGUAAAUGAC